AUGGUAGCUUUGGCUGUGGAUGGGGCAGUUUCCAGAGAUGGUAGCUUUGGCUCUUUCAGUGCUGUAUGCAGAAGCUCUUCGGGAUCUUUUUUGGGAGCCUCGGCCAUCAAGAUCGAAGGCAUUUCAGAUCCAGCGACUUUGGAAGCCUUGGCCUGUCGCGAGGCACUUGAUCUUGCUAUGGAUCUUGAUCUUGCUAAAAUCCUCAUAGCAAGUGACUGCCAAGAGGUGGUGAAUGACAUAAAAAACUGCACUGGUGGCGUCUAUGCUAGUACCAUUAGAGAGAUAGUGGAGUCAAAGAAUACUUUUGAUGAUUGCUCCUUCAUCUUUGAGGGGAGGGCAACGGAUAUUGAGGCACAUAGUCUCGCUAAGCAUGCUUUUGGUUUGGAUUUCGGGCGCCAUGUAUGGCUUUUAAACCCUCCAAACAUCUCUUGUAUCCCUAUGAACAUUUUUGAGUAA
rnacentral:rRNA from 1 species